GGAAUGAACGCUAGCGACAGGCCUAACGCAUGCAAGUCGAGGGCAGCACAAGGAGCAAUCUGAGGUGGCGACCGGCGCACGGGUGAGUAACACGUAUGCAACCUGCCUGUAAGCGGGGAAUAACCCGUUGAAAGACGGACUAAUACCGCAUAAUACUAAAUUACUGCAUGGUAAUUUAUUUAAACAUUUAUGGCUUACAGAUGGGCAUGCGCAUGAUUAGCUAGUUGGAGAGGUAACAGCUCCCCAAGGCAACGAUCAUUAGGGGUUCUGAGAGGAAGGUCCCCCACACUGGUACUGAGACACGGACCAGACUCCUACGGGAGGCAGCAGUGAGGAAUAUUGGUCAAUGGACGAGAGUCUGAACCAGCCAAGUCGCGUGCAGGAAGAAUGUUCCCUAUGGAUUGUAAACUGCUUUUGCAGGGGAAUAAAGUGCAUCACGUGUGAUGUUUUGUAUGUACUCUGCGAAUAAGGAUCGGCUAACUCCGUGCCAGCAGCGGC
rnacentral:rRNA from 1 species